UGGCCUGCUGGGGAAGAAAAUAACCAUAAUUAAAAUGUCAUCUUACAUUACAAUGACUAAUUACAUGCUGCCUGUGCUGAAAUUUGAUUUGGCUGGUGUGUUGGUGCUCAUAGGGAGCUCAUUUCUGUAUUCUCACCGUGCUGAGCUCCCUCCACUGAGCCAGUGCAGCAGACACUGAUGAACAAAUAUGUACUGCUCCUGAGUUCACACAAAGGAAUGAACAGGUGAGUAAACCACUGGAUCACGACUGCACCGACCUGAUUUUGGACCAUCCACAUUCGAUGUAGCCUUAGGUCCUCCACGGCAGCCCGGACAUCAGGUUUGAUGCCCCUCGCACACAGCUGCAUCAGCCACAACAGCGUCACAAAUGUCCCUGAACGCCCAACACCUGCACUGAAACACCAUAAUGCAGGAUUUAACUUUGACAUCAUUUUAGAUCCAUCUGAUUAACAUGGUUGGUCAGUUAUUAAAUACAAAUGACAUGA